AAUCCAAUGCUUAGUUGUCAUGAGAUUUUAGAUGGGAAGGUAAAUGAAUCUCUGUACAGUUUGUGCCUCUGAUUUUCUGUGGAUUGACUUUGAUGUUCUAUAACUUGUAUUGACUUUGAACUAAAUCUUCAUAUUAUGCUAUAUGUUUUUAUAGCCUGGUAAAUACGUGUGGCAAACUUAUAAAGAAGUGUAUGAAUUGGUAAUUAAAGUGGGAAAUGCUAUGCGAAGUUGUGGCUUUGGGGAUCAGAAGAACCCUUGGGCUGAAAGUUGGCAUCAGAAGAACCCCACAUGUGGCAUUCCUUGGCAAUCUUGGAUCAGGCGGUGGAGGUCGACUCGAUUAUGGAGUUCAUGUUGUAUCUGUUGAGCUCAUCUUCUCUGUUUGAUGAAGUUUUGGGGUCUGAACCGGAGUCCCCCAUUUGGUUAUCUGCACUACCUCCCCGAUGCCGUUUUAUUCAAGACAGGUUAGUACGUUUUUUUCCAUAAUUUUCAUUAAUCCUUAAUGGUUCCUUAAUUAAACAAACAAUUAGGUUGAUUAUUAAUCAUAAUCAAAUAAUUUAUUUAUUCAACUA